rnacentral:tRNA from 1 species
GGUGGGUUGGCUCAGAGGCUAGAGCUUAGGUCUCGUAACCGAAAGGUCGUGGGAUCGAAUCCCGCUAUAGGCUG